CCUGUUGGUUUGUGUUUACUAUUAUUGUUUGCUGGGCAGUAAGCUUCAGGUUCCUUCUUCCUCGUUUUUUUGGGAGGCUUCAUUGAUAUUUGGGAACACGCUAACGUUGCUUCGGUGAGACAAGGUAGCGUUGAAGUUGUUGAGUUUUGAUCUUCCUUUUUGUUAUGGGAUGUUUUGCUUUGGAUACCCUUUUCUACAGUUGAGUCCGGUGAUUGGUUGGCCUUGAGGGAAGAAAGCUUCGGGUUCCUCACUGGUUUGCUGCAAGAAGUCGUAUUUAGUCUGACGGUUUUCUCGGCCUUGUUCCCUUGUUUCCUAUUUUGCUAGGCUACUUAUCUUGGGGGUUUAUUAGUUGAUAGUUGAUAUUGGUAACACUUGUUUUGCUGCUCUCUGAAGGUUAAUAAAUAUCUGCUAAAGGAAGGUUUUGAGGAUGCAAUACAAUGUAUUUCAGUUUUCUUGCUCCAGGGUGUCAAGGUAACGUUGAAGUUCUUCCGAGUCCUAUUCGUCGUUUUUUUUGUUAUGGAAACGUUUUGCUUUGGACAAAAUCUUCUACAGUUCUGUAGUCUGGUGUUUUGUUGGCUUUGAGGGAAGUAACCUAUGGUUUCAGAACAGAGUCUCUGGUUAGUUAAUUUUGUUGGCUGGCCUUCACGGGAAGUAAGCUUAGCUUCUUCGGGUUUGUCAGCAGUCCCCAUCCUCUCUUUCCUUGUCCUGAUUUUUUGAAUUCUCGAGUUACACGUUCUUUGGCUCACGGAAGGUUAAUGUAGUAAUGUGUAUUUGCUAUAGAUUUGGAGGAUGGAAUAUCAUGGAUAUUUGAGAUUUGCUCUUUCCUUGAGAUAGUGACAAGGUAACAUUGAAUGGCCUCUUUGAGAUUUGCUCUUUCCUUUCUUUCUGUUAUGAAAACAUCUUGCUCUGGACACUCUUCUAUUGGAUAUAGUCUUCGGUGAUUUGAUAUGGCUGGGAGGAUGUGAAGCUCAAAUACGGUGGCGUUUGCUUCUGUAUCGUUGACUACUCUGAAGGUGUUUACCAAGAAGAUGGUGCCUCUUUUGUCUUCCUCUAGGUUUGCAGUAAUAUCACGUAGUCAGUAUCAUCUCAGUACAUCUGUUUUGUAUUUGGUUUUGUGGAAGAGUUUCGCUCUUUUCUUGUGCACUGCAUGGUUUCAUCAUUUGCCUCGUUUUUUCUGGUUCGAUGGUAACACAGGACAGGGCAUAUGAAUCUCGCCUUUGUCAGAAUAUGGUCGGAAACGUGUCUUAGCGACAGUGAGGGUACGGUGUGUCAGUCAUGUACUUGUGCAGAAUUUUUAAUCCAUUUCUUCACACUGCGCUUUGUUUCAACGGUGUGCCGCUAGACCUUUUUUUGGUGUCUUCCAGUCGCAGAGCUUUGCCCACCAGACCCGAGAUUGUAGCUCUAAUGGAGAAGUGUGGGGUAUGGGUUUAUGAUGACAUGCUCCAAGAUAUCAAAACACGUUUUCUCCAAUAUGCAAUGGAGAGAGAGCAGAACAAGGAAGGAUGUUCGAUGGUCUUCACUACCUCCCAUAGCUGAUAGCUUCGCCAGGAUGCUUAUCAUCUGAAAUCGUUACGGCUUCGGUUUUGUACUAGCUUUCUAGUUGAGCUCAACAGAAACAGUUUGGAAAGGAAGGCAGCAAGAGGCCUCGGAAACUUACGUAGCCUAAACCUCACAAGCUGCAAGCACCCUACCCAGUUUCCAGACCUUCUGAAGGCGACUAAACCUGAGCCUGUUAAACCCUCCAGUUGUGUUAAUAACUGGGAAGUAUGACAGAACAAAGACGAAGCUGCGAUACAAGUUAAUAGGCUUCAAGACAAGAAACAGGAGGACUUUGGACCUUCGGUGUUACCGCUACUGGCUAGAUCUCUUUUUCUAUACUACUGUAAAUAUAUGGUCUAUAUGUUGAUGUAUCAAUAUUCAGUCAAUGAAAGCAUAUAGCCUACUUUUGGUUUCAAA